AGAAAAGCCACCCUGGGAGCAAAGCAAGUUAGGGUUGUAAGAGACAUUUCUGAGAUUAAAGCAGCCAGAUCUAUGAUGGGGUGGGUACGGGUGGUUAAAGAGAAAGAGAAUGUGAGAAUGACUCAUGAGACUAUUAAACUGACUUAACUGAAAUUUUAAAAAAGGGGGAAAUACCAACUACGAUGCACCCCCCCACCACACCAUGUUUUAAUGCUACUCAAGGUCUAUGGCUGCGAAAGGCCACUUGUUUUUCUUCAGUUAAUGCUGAGACUGUUUGUCUGCCAGAGACACCCCAUAGAGGAUCCAUCCUUAGACCUCAGUUAAUGGC
ensembl:lincRNA